GAUGAACGCUAGCUACAGGCUUAACACAUGCAAGUCGAGGGGCAGCAUGAACAAAGCUUGCUUUGUUUGAUGGCGACCGGCGCACGGGUGAGUAACGCGUAUCCGACCUGCCCAUGACUCGGGCACAGCCGCUCGAAAGAGCGAUUGAUUCCCGAUAUGUCUUUGGAGUAUAUUCUUAGAUGAAAGAUUUAUCGGUCAUGGAUGGGGAUGCGUAGGAUUAGGUAGUAGGCGGGGUAACGGCCCACCUAGCCGACGAUCCUUAGGGGUUCUGAGAGGAAGGUCCCCCCANACUGGUACUGAGACACGGACCAGACUCCUACGGGAGGCAGCAGUGAGGAAUAUUGGUCAAUGGGCGAAGCCUGAACCAGCCAAGUAGCGUGAAGGAUUACUGCCCUA
rnacentral:rRNA from 1 species